rnacentral:rRNA from 1 species
UACGGAGGGUGCAAGCGUUAAUCGGAAUUACUGGGCGUAAAGCGCACGCAGGCGGUCUUUUAAGUCAGAUGUGAAAUCCCCGGGCUUAACCCGGGAAUUGCAUUUGAUACUGGUAAACUAGAGUCCUGUAGGGGGGGGUAGAAUUCCAUGUGUAGCGGUGAAAUGCGUAGAGAUGUGGAGGAAUACCGAAGGCGAAGGCAGCCCCUUGGGAAUGUACUGACGCUCAUGUGCGAAAGCGUGGGGAGCAAACAGG